rnacentral:rRNA from 1 species
GACGAACGCUGGCGGCGCGCCUAACACAUGCAAGUCGAACGGUGACGAGAGCUUCGGCUCUCUGAUCAGUGGCGGACGGGUGAGUAACACGUGAGCAACCUGCCUAUCAGAGGGGGACAACAGUUGGAAACGACUGCUAAUACCGCAUAACGUCAUUGGAAGGCAUCUUCUGAUGACCAAAGAUUUAUCGCUGAUAGAUGGGCUCGCGUCUGAUUAGAUAGUUGGUGAGGUAACGGCCCACCAAGUCGACGAUCAGUAGCCGGUCUGAGAGGAUGAACGGCCACAUUGGGACUGAGAUACGGCCCAGACUCCUACGGGAGGCAGCAGUGGGGAAUAUUGCACAAUGGGGGAAACCCUGAUGCAGCGACGCCGCGUGAGUGAAGAGGUAUUUCGGUAUGUAAAGCUCUAUCAGCAGGGAAGAGAAUGACGGUACCUGACUAAGAAGCCCCGGCUAACUACGUGCCAGCA